rnacentral:rRNA from 1 species
UACGGGGGGGGCAAGCGUUGUUCGGAAUUACUGGGCGUAAAGGGCUCGUAGGCGGCCAACUAAGUCAGACGUGAAAUCCCUCGGCUUAACCGGGGAACUGCGUCUGAUACUGGAUGGCUUGAAUCCGGGAGAGGGAUGCGGAAUUCCAGGUGUAGCGGUGAAAUGCGUAGAGAUCGGGAAGAACACCCGUGGCGAAGGCGGCGUGCUGGGUUGCAACUGACGCUGAGAUGCGAAAGUGUGGGGAGCAAAUGGG